rnacentral:rRNA from 1 species
UGGGGAAUAUUGCACAAUGGGCGAAAGCCUGAUGCAGCGACGCCGCGUGAGUGAAGAAGUAUUUCGGUAUGUAAAGCUCUAUCAGCAGGGAAGAAAAUGACGGUACCUGACUAAGAAGCCCCGGCUAACUACGUGCCAGCAGCCGCGGUAAUACGUAGGGGGCAAGCGUUAUCCGGAUUUACUGGGUGUAAAGGGAGCGUAGACGGCGAAGCAAGUCUGAAGUGAAAACCCAGGGCUCAACCCUGGGACUGCUUUGGAAACUGUUUUGCUAGAGUGUCGGAGAAGUAAGUGGAAUUCCUAGUGUAGCGGUGAAAUGCGUAGAUAUUAGGAGGAACACCAGUGGCGAAGGCGGCUUACUGGACGAUAACUGACGUUGAGGCUCGAAAGCGUGGGGAGCAAACAGG